UCCUUUUAAGUCUAUAUAAAAUUUAUUCUAUACCCACCUUCUACUUUCAAACUCCAUAUUCCACCAGAAAGAGUACAUUUUCUAGUUCUUAAAUCACCUCCCCUGCCUUGAAAAGUCCUUCUUUCUAGUCUUUGUGAUCAUGUCCCUACUCACAUGUUCACGGCACAGAGUUGUCGAAAGUGGAGGCUUGCUGUCAAUCUCAGCUAAUGAAUGUGAUCAAGGACGGGACAGAGCUGGCCCUAUUAGCGUCUCAGUUCCGUGUAGAAUCAAUUAACAGGAGCUGGUCCUGCCAUAAGGAGCUAUACAUUCAAGUCGAUAUAACUAUGCACAACUUAUCUUUCUCGUCUGGUACAAAUUAUUAUCCCCUUACCUAACUUUUAUUUCAUUUUUCUUAUGUUUCCUGCGAACUCGGAAAAUCCUUCUUCCGUUCAGUAGCCUAAACGUUAACCUGUCAGGGAAAACACUUAGUGACGGGUUAAUAUGAAGAGUUGAUAGAAAAUAGAAAAAAUAUUUGACACAACUUGUUCCGGAGGUAUUAUUUCUCCUCGUCUUUUUCUCGGCCAUUUCCUGGUUAGUAAAUAUUUAACGGUUUUUCUGUGGUGUGCCCAUGGGCACACACUAAGCGCUAACUUUCAUGAGUAUGAUGCAUUUUUAUUGGUCCUCCAAUCAUAAAUAUGGAUGGCCCCCUGCAUUUGCAUCAAGUCCACCAAUAAAAACCCACCAAACUCAUCAGUUUAUUGUGUGCCCUUGGGCACACAUUAGAAAGACCCAAUAUUUAAUAUGCAAAAAGAUAGAGUUACAUGGAAGAAAUAUGAAGUUAUUUUAGGUGCCAAGUAGUCCAGAAUUAGAAGAUCACAAGCUCUUAUAAAUAAUUUUAGUGCUAUUAUAUAACAAAGAUUUGCCAUGUAAAGAAAUUGCUCAACAUACAGUAGUAAUCUAUAGAAUUAUCAAAGAACUCAUGCAACCUGUAAAUACAAGUUUAUUAUCCAAAAGAAAAAAGAGAUUAAUGUCUCAUAAUUAACGUGGCAUCCUCUGCACGUCCUCCAGCCAUGUCUGAUAUGCUAUCUUUGCUGGUGAAAAUGACUGUCAUGACAUUACUCUCAUCAAUCAAGUCCAUCUAUUUGUUUGAUGUGUUGGAUUUUGGACCAUUCCGCCCCACUUCCCUUCCUGUAUCUUUCUUGUAUUAUCGGACAAUGAGAUAUCUCCAUUGUCGAGAGAAGUAUGGAUAGACUUGAUCUUAUGAGCAACCUUAGAACGAUAAAGAACGCUGUUUUUAGUAGAAAAUAAAUGCCUCAACGUACCGCGAUUUUCAACCUUUCGCCGAGUUUCAUCCAUGAAAGCAUCAGCUCCAUGAGGAACAUCCCACAGCUUGUUGAACCAGCUCUGGACAGCAGACAUGUUUAGCUUUUUGCUAUCAGCAUCGGAUGAUAGAGCAUCAAUGGUUUCCAACCUUUAAUAUCCGAGCUUAUCCCGGUUUUAAUCAAUGCCUCAUCAAUGUUUAGCUUUUUAGUAUCCGAGCUUUAUCCCGGUUUUAAUCCAGGCCGGUUUUUGUGAAAAUGAGUCUUGGAGAGAGUAUUAGGUUUGGAUCCUUGCUGUUACAAUGUGGUACAAAGAAUUUUUAUUAUUUAAGCAUUGCACUUAUCAUAAUGUGAGUUAAGAAAUAGAUGUUCAUGAAAUAUUAAAAGUAAAGUGUUAGAUGUGUCUAACUAAAUGAUAUUACCAAUGUUAGACUUGCCUAUUCGUGAAAAUUAUUCUCUAAGAAAAUAAUACUAAUUUUAUAUAUUAUCAUCUUGCCUACAAAAAUUCCUAUUUGUGAACAAAUAUGAUUUACUUGAUAAAUGAAAAUAUCUAAUUUGAUAAUUACUUCAAGCACCUAAAUUGAUAAUUUCCAACUUGAUAAAUAAUUAUGAAGUACUCUCUCCGUUCCCCACAAUUGUCAUUGGAGGGGGACACGGAGACCAAGAUAAUGUAUAAAAAAUGAGUAAAGUUAGACGAAAAGUGGGUAAAGUGGUGGAUUUAAUAAUAAAUUUGAGAUAUUGGAGGAAAGUAGUGGGUGUAAUAGUAGUUUUUAUUGUUAAAUAUGAGAUAGUGGGGAAGAUAAUGUGUGUAAUGAUGGGAAAAACUUGCUAUUUAUGGUAAUGUAAAUAAAUGAGAGGGACAUCCCAAAAUAAUAACAAUAAAGAAAUAAGAGGGACAGACGGAGUAUUCUAAUUUUAAAUCACCCGCUACCUCUUUACCUAUCUUAUAAAAUCCGUACCCUGAUUUCAAACUCCAUAUUCCACCAGAAAGAGUGCAUUCUCUAGUUUUGAAAUCACCUCCCCUGCCUUGAAAAGUCCUUCUUUCUAGUCUUUGUGCAUGUCCCUACUCACAUGUUCACGGCGUAGCGUUGUCCUUCUUUCUAGGCUUGCUGUCAACCACAGCCAAUGAAUGUGAUCAAGGACGUGACAGAGCUGGCCCUAUUCGCGCCUCAGUUCCUUGUAGGGAGUGAGUAUCAAUUAACAGGAGCAAUGGUGGUCCUCCCAUAAGGAGCUUUACAGUCAAGUAGGCUUCCACGACCCGGUAAAAGGGUAAAGGACAUCAUAUAAUGCACAACUUUUCUUUCUCGUCUGGUACAAUUAUUUAUCCCCUCACCUAACUUCAUUUUCAUUUUAUUUUUUUUAUGUUUCCUUCGUGACUUCUUAUUUAAAAUAAAUUAAAGGAAGUGACUCUUUAUUUAAAUUAAAGAAGUGUAGUAGAAGUGAGAAGUAAAUAAGUUUAUAAAUUGUUUGGAAAAAAAGUAGAAGCUCGGAAGAAAAAGCUAGCAUUCUCAACUUCUUAAAAAUGCUUAUUUACACAAACGGAUCAAGAAAAGCAGAAGACAGAAGCAGCUUCUGCUUCCGCGAAACAAACAGCCACUCUAUCUACAAAAUUUAUUGUAAAAUGUAUCAUUUCCCUUUACUAGCCUCUAUCUACAAAUUUUUUUGUAAAAUGUAUCACAUACACAUGACAUGAGCCCAUCAGGGAAAACACUUAGGCCCCAUUUGUUUAUUGCUUAUUGGUAGCUUAAUGGGAUUAAAUGACCCCUUAAGCUAAUUCAUCUUAUUUGGCAAUUUUUUCCAUAUAACUGAGCGGGCUGAGCGAAACAUAUAUACUGCUGACCCAUUCUUGCUUGAAUUUCUAUCUCAUUAGUUCAGCUAUGUGUAUUAUCAUUAAGUAGUUUCAGGAAAGAAAAUUAAU
rnacentral:lncRNA from 1 species